CCUACGGGUGGCAGCAGUGAGGAAUAUUGGUCAAUGGACGAGAGUCUGAACCAGCCAAGUAGCGUGAAGGAUGACUGCCCUAUGGGUUGUAAACUUCUUUUAUAUGGGAAUAAAAUGUUCCACGUGUGGGAUUUUGUAUGUACCAUAUGAAUAAGGAUCGGCUAACUCCGUGCCAGCAGCCGCGGUAAUACGGAGGAUCCGAGCGUUAUCCGGAUUUAUUGGGUUUAAAGGGAGCGUAGGUGGAUUGUUAAGUCAGUUGUGAAAGUUUGCGGCUCAACCGUAACAUUGAAGUUGAAACUGGCAGUCUUGAGUACAGUAGAGGUGGGCGGAAUUCGUGGUGUAGCGGUGAAAUGCUUAGAUAUCACGAAGAACUCCGAUUGCGAAGGCAGUUCACUGGACUGCAACUGACACUGAGGCUCGAAAGUGUGGGUAUCAAACAGGAUUAGAUACCCCAGUAGUC
rnacentral:rRNA from 1 species